rnacentral:rRNA from 1 species
GAUGAACGCUGGCGGCGUGCCUAAUACAUGCAAGUCGAGCGAACAGACGAGGAGCUUGCUCCUCUGACGUUAGCGGCGGAAGGGUGAGUAACACGUGGAUAACCUACCUAUAAGACUGGGAUAACUUCGGGAAACCGGAGCUAAUACCGGAUAAUAUAUUGAACCGCAUGGUUCAAUAGUGAAAGACGGUUUUGCUGUCACUUAUAGAUGGAUCCGCGCCGCAUUAGCUAGUUGGUAAGGUAACGGCUUACCAAGGCAACGAUGCGUAGCCGACCUGAGAGGGUGAUCGGCCACACUGGAACUGAGCCACGGUCCAGACUCCUACGGGAGGCAGCAGUAGGGAAUCUUCCGCAAUGGGCGAAAGCCUGACGGAGCAACGCCGCGUGAGUGAUGAAGGUCUUCGGAUCGUAAAACUCUGUUAUUAGGGAAGAACAAAUGUGUAAGUAACUAUGCACGUCUUGACGGUACCUAAUCAGAAAGCCACGGCUAACUACGUG